UACAGAGGUCUCAAGCGUUGUUCGGAUUCAUUGGGCGUAAAGGGUGCGUAGGUGGUGAUGCAAGUCUGGUGUGAAAUCUCGGAGCUCAACUCCGAAAUUGCACCGGAUACUGCGUGACUCGAGGACUGUAGAGGAGAUCGGAAUUCACGGUGUAGCAGUGAAAUGCGUAGAUAUCGUGAGGAAGACCAGUUGCGAAGGCGGAUCUCUGGGCAGUUCCUGACGCUGAGGCACGAAGGUCAGGGGGAGCAAACGGG
rnacentral:rRNA from 1 species